AAUUGGAGGGCAAGUCUGGUGCCAGCAGCCGCGGUAAUUCCAGCUCCAAUAGCGUAUAUUAAAGUUGUUGCAGUUAAAAAGCUCGUAGUUGAAUUUCGGGAUUGACACAUCGGUCGUGCCUUAAGGGGUAUGAACUGGUGUAGUCAAUUUCUCACCUUCUGGAGAACCGCGAUGCCCCUAAUUGGGUGUCACGGGGAACCAGGACCUUUACUUUGAAAAAAUUAGAGUGUUUAAAGCAGGCAUUUUGCUUGAAUACAUUAGCAUGGAAUAAUAAAAUAGGACGGCAUGAUUCUAUUUUGUUGGUUUCUAGGAUCACCGUAAUGAUUAAUAGGGAUAGUUGGGGGCAUUAGUAUUCAAUUGUCAGAGGUGAAAUUCUUGGAUUUAUUGAAGACUAACUACUGCGAAAGCAUUUGCCAAGGAUGUUUUCAUUAAUCAAGAACGAAAGUUAGGGGAUCGAAGACGAUCAGAUACCGUCGUAGUCUUAACCAUAAACUAUGCCGACUAGGAAUCAGACGAUGUUAAUUUUUUAAUGACUCGUUUGGCACCUUACGGGAAACCAAAGUGU
rnacentral:rRNA from 1 species